AGGCUCCCAGGAGAUGAGCAGUUUGAGGCUGGAUUCUGGGCCUACCCUGGUCAUCUCAGGGGCCUGGGUGGGAAGACCCCUCCGUGCCCACUCUCACCUCAGAGCAGCC
rnacentral:pre_miRNA from 1 species